UCGCAUGUCGUCGUCUAGGUCGUAUCUUCAUCUUACGGCCGCCAAUUUUUCCGAGAUGAAAGUCGAUGAUAACGCCAUGGACGUUACAACGUUUCAUCUUGCUCACGUUACAACGUUUCAUCUUGCUCUUCUUUACUUACUGUUAAUUCGUGAUUUCCCCACUCCUGAGCAUUCAAUCCGACUCCUUCUCUUCCCGUAGGUACUCACUAGAGCUUCGGGUAUAAAUACCUCCUCAUCCAGACAUGAGCAUCACAACUUCAACGAGAACCAGAAGAUCACUCUGUUCAAUUUCUGGUUAUUACAAUGGCGAAUUCCCAAGUCCUUCUUGCUGAUUUGAAAGCAGGACGCUGCUCCAACGUUGCGGAGGUCUGGUUGCUGCGAUUCUGGGAAGCCAGAAAUGUGAGGAAAGGCGGUGAACUGACGAUUGUUAACAUGCUCUUUGUCGAUGAGAAUAGUUGAAGGAAAGGUUUGCUUGUGUCCUACCCGCAUCGAGCUUUUACCAACGUAAUGCGGUGAACAAGCAUUGAAGACGUUCACCCAAACGGUGGAAUCAAGAAAUUCAAAUCUUCUGUCUACUCCAACUUUGUAUUUUCCUUUCGUCUAAGAUCAAAACUGGCUCCCCAAUCCAAUCGUUCUCAAAGUCAUGCGCUCAUACAACAAGGUGAGAUGAAUUUGUCUGCAAAUCGGUUUCAAAGGUUACGAGAAGUAGCUCGAGGUCAUCUUUCAAGACUCCAAGGGAUUUGGUCUCUGUGCUCUGAUCAAGUCGCAGUUGGACUAAAAACUCACUCCUGCUGCAUGUGCGAUAGUGCUCUGAGUCCAGUUUCUUUGUCUACCCCCAUCAAGACUUCUUCAUCUCACAUCUGAGUGAGAGCGGGAGCAAGGCUGCAGACCCAGUUGGGACAUCACCAGAGCCUACAACUAAGAAGCCAAUGGGGUGUACCAAUCUUGAGUAGACGUUGUAGUGGCUCUCAAUUAUCGUUCAGCCCAGCUGUCAUCUAUCAUAUUUUCAUAGUUUCUGCUUCCAGUUUAACAAUUGUAAGGCUUAUUAGGUCUCUGUCUAUGCAAAUAUUUGGGCUUUGAUAUUUUAAAAUUAAACACUUAUACACCUAAGUGAGUCAAGAACACAAUAUUU